CCUACGGGUGGCAGCAGUGGGGAAUAUUGGACAAUGGGCGAAAGCCUGAUCCAGCCAUGCCGCGUGUGUGAAGAAGGCCUUCGGGUUGUAAAGCACUUUCAGUGGGGAAGAAAGCCUUGGGGCUAAUACCCUCGAGGAAGGACAUCACCCACAGAAGAAGCACCGGCUAACUCCGUGCCAGCAGCCGCGGUAAUACGGAGGGUGCGAGCGUUAAUCGAAAUUACUGGGCGUAAAGCGCGCGUAGGCGGUCUGAUAAGCCGGUUGUGAAAGCCCCGGGCUCAACCUGGGAACGGCAUCCGGAACUGUCAGGCUAGAGUGCAGGAGAGGAAGGUAGAAUUCCCGGUGUAGCGGUGAAAUGCGUAGAGAUCGGGAGGAAUACCAGUGGCGAAGGCGGCCUUCUGGACUGACACUGACGCUGAGGUGCGAAAGCGUGGGUAGCAAACAGGAUUAGAUACCCUUGUAGUC
rnacentral:rRNA from 1 species